AUAAGAUGGGGACGUUAAGCAUGCAGCAACUACAGUCAUUUGUUCUCAGAGGUCUGGACCAAAGAGAAACAAGAAAAGCUGGAGUCACACUACCAAAGGCCGAAGCUGAGCAACAGAGCUCUGGAGUCAGCUGCCUGGGUUCAGCAUGCAGCGCUGCCGUGGACGAUCUGUCUCUCUUGCAUAUAUGACUUACCAGUUUUACUUUCAGUCUCUCCAUUUCUAAUUAAAUGAGAUGCAGAAA
rnacentral:lncRNA from 1 species